GGGGAAGUGAGAGAAGACACUAGACCCCUCCUCGUUUAUUCGCUGUCUUUUUAGAAGAUGCCGCACAUGGCCACACUGCAAGGUGGGCACUAUUGUGCACCCCUAGUAAAGCUGGAAGAGAGAUUAGAUACCAGCUGGCAAACAGUAGUUUGUGCCAUAGUCUCCAUACCCUGAAUCUUGAGGGGUUUAGGUGGUGGUCACUGAGAUCAUGCACCCUUGGGAAAAACCAGAGGCUAAGGGAUCCCGUUGAAGCCCCACUCUGCAACACUGGGAACAAAUUGGAGCAUGCCGUCCCCAACCUGGACUGAGGAAUUACUCGAGAGGGUCCCAGAAGAAUUGAGGGAGCUGCUUGUGCCCACUCACAGGAACCUACUCCAGCGUGAGGUGUGACGUGUGAGGGCGUGUUUGCAUCACUUCCGGUUUCCUCCAUUCUUGUUCUCUCAUGACUGUGUUUCCUGAGUGGAUUCUGCUCCCUCGUGGCUUCUACAUUAUUUAAUCUCUUUUUAAUUUGGGGGAUCAUCAGAGUGGUGAUGUAGUUACAUAGUUCACUUUUUUUUGGGUCUCUUCAUUUCUGUUGGUUGUCCUCAGGUGACCCGAAUUUAGUGCUUCUGAGCCUCCCAACUAUCUUAGACUGCCCCCUGGUGGAUGCCUGUCAGAGCCAUUCUUCUGGUCUGAACAUGGAGAUGGCCUUUCCCCCCUGUCCUGGAUGCAAAAGUAAGAAUUCCCCAUGUGAAACUCAGCCGCCAGGAGCACUUCUAACUUUUAGAAUAUGACCUUGUAAAUGCCCAUGUAAAGACAGCUUUUCUUGACCUCUGAAAUAAUUGUUUCCUAAAUUUCGAUAUAGGGCAGGCUUAGGAGUGUCAACCUUUUUAGGAGGAGACUCAGAUAUUCAUUGAGCCUCUAACUCUUCAUUUAAUAAUUAUUUCUCGAGUGCCUACUGUGUUCUAGGAACUGUCCAUUCACUGGGGAGCGUAGCAGGUAAGGGCUCUGCUCUCAGGAGCUUACUUUCUAAGAAGAAAAAUGAGGCGAUUUCAGAUAGAGGGAGAUGUUAUGAAGAAAGUUAAAGCAGUUGAUAAGUGGAAAGUACCGGGAGUUGGGUGGGCUGUUUUUGAUACGCAGCCAGGGGAGGCCUGUCUGAGAUGCUCACUGCUCACUUAAGCACCUGGACAUUCGGCCCCGCCCCCCUCAUUAGCCCAUCAACCUGCAGACACCUACAGGGGGAGCCUUCCUCGUAGGGGGACCAGCAAGGGUGAAUGUAGAAGAGAAUUGAAAUAUACACACAUGUUCAAGGACAGGUGCACUGCUUUCCCGGGGCUGCCGUAACAAAUCGCCAUAAACUGGGCACCUCCAAACAACAGAAAUGAGUCCUUCCCCUGUUCAGGAAGCAGGAGCCUGGUAUGAAGGUGUAAGCAAGGCAGUGCUUUCUUGAAGGCCCUAGCGGUGAAUCUGUCCCAUGCCUCUCUCUUAGCUUCCAGUGUUGCUGGCCAUUCUUGGCCUUCCUGGGCUCACAGAUGCAUCACUCCAGUCUUCUCCUCAGUCACCCACGGCGUUCUCACUACACCUCGGUCUGUGUCUCUGUGUCUUCUAUUUUCUUAUUAGGACACAAGUCAUAUUGGAUUUAGGAUCUACCCUAAUCCAGUAUGACCUCAUAUUUACUAAGUAUAUUUUCAAAACCCCUAUUUCCAAAUAAGGUCACAUUGAUAGGUACCUGGAGUUAGGAUUUGAGUGUUUUUUGGUGGGGGGGGGGGACGCUUUUGAGUUUCCCUGACACUUGGGAAUUGCCUGCAGCUUUCCCUCCAACCUUCUCUUUAGACUUUAUAGGGCGAGGCAUCCAUUCCUGUGCGUCAACCAUGAUCUCUGUUGGUAACUGUGACUCUUCUUCCCCGGGUACAAUCUGUGUGCAGUAAGUACCAUGGAGAGGGCCGAGUGAACUUGGCUCCAGCACCACAGACAGUUCCAAGACACUGUACCUACUAGAGAGCUGAAUGUUUGCAGGGCCAACUUAUCUGAUGUGAACAAAGGCAGAUCUAGGUUUUAUGGGGCCAGAAACAUGCAAUUUGGAGGGAGGUCCUCUUCAACAAAAAAUGCAAAAUUUUAAAUUCAAAACAAAUUUAAAAGGUGUACAAACGAUUUUUUUUAGCAUGAGAAAAAGUUGGCAACUCUCACACAUAGUACAAAACUCAGAAAAAUAACAGAAUAUUUCUAUUAAUUAGGAUACUUUUAACCUACUUUUUUGGCUGUAUAUUCCUUGACCCCAUCUUUAUUGGACACUUUUUAUAUCAUUUUCUAGAUGGAUAAUUCAAAUUAAUUCAGUCACAUGAUUAAUCAUAAUGUAUGUUUUAUUACUGAUAGUUUGGAAGAGAGGAAAGGUAAAGACAUAGAAGCAGAGAAAUUAUAGCAAAGACUUCUUCACUUUUUCCUGAAAAGCUUUCCAUGAGUCCAGAUAUGGUUAAUGCCUCUUUGCUGUUUUCUCAUAAAAUUCUGUGCAAAAGCCACACUGACUUUUGAGCACUUACCCAAGAAAUAUUAAUGGCAAAUGUAUUAAGUUCCAUGUGCUUUAGAUGCCAGGGACUAAAACUGUGAGUUAAGCAUAAGAAUUUUUUUCCUAUAAGGAAUACCUCUUACUCAAGAAAGCAGAAAAUACAUAGGCAAACAAAUACAUCCGUGGACUAUUACUGAUUUAUGCAGUUUGGGACAGAAACCAGGGGUUGGCUGGGAGGAGGGGGGUCUUUUAGGAAGCACCCCUUACCCCAGGCUCCAUAGGGGCAGGUGGCAGUGCUUGUAGGAACCACAGUGCCCUUCCCCCCAACCCAUGAGAGCCCAGGGCUCAUGCCAGCCUCCCAGGAGUUUGAGACCCAAAAUUCACGUGAUGGUGGCAGGACAGGCUGCUGACUCAAAAGGGGUUUGGUCACUUUGCAGUCCUUAUUGACCCAGUUAUUGGGACAGGUCUCAGCACCUUUAGGAACCACAGGCCUCUCUGACCAAAAUCCAGGCCUCACCCCAGCCUGCCUCAGGGUUCCAAAGCUGAGUCCAGGCUGCAGAAAGGGCUUGGCAGGAAGAACUGGUAGCAGGCUCGGAGAGCGGGCUCGGCUGGGAGUCUUGUCUCCCUUCAGGAUGGGUUGGGUCAGGCCCAGCAUUGGUAGGAACCAUGGAGAGUUCGCUUGUGAGUAAUGAGCCUGCAAGAGGAAGUGGGGGCACUGCCAGUUGUGAGAACCAGGCCCUGGAGACAGUGUGGAUAAGUGUGUAAAGGCCCUGCCUGGCAAAGGGCAAAGGGACCCAUCGUUCUCCAGUCCUUAUGUGCCCCAGGAAGGAACUUUGCUGGAAAGCAGUCCUUUCACUGGAGUGAAAAGGAUUCAGGGAAAGGGAGGCAUUGAUGAUGGCGUAGGUUCUAUCUUUCGGCAAGUUUAAGGAGACGCUGCUUUCCAGGGCCACUCAAGCCAUCAAAAUGCCAGACUCAGCCCUGAGUCCCAGCGCGUCUGCAUCCUCAGCUUUGACUGGACCACUCAGCACUCGCUGGAGCCUCCUCCCCGAGUAGAAGCACACUGAUGAGAAGUCUAACUGCUCUGUGGGUCUGCGUGAUGCCCAGGCUGCACUGGCCCCGCGGGCAGGCAGGAGACAUGGAAGUACGUAGAAGGCUGAAGACAGGCCUGCUGAGUGGUCCUGCCUUGUCAUUUGUUUGUAUCACCAGCAAAGAAAGACUGAAAACAGAUCUUGACACAACCAGUCAUUUAAACUGAAGCAGGUGAGACAGCAGCACAUAUAAAAAGGCUGGGAGCCUUGGCGUUCCCGUUGUGGCUCAGCGGAAACAAAUCUGACUAGGAACCAUGAGGUUGUGGGUUCGAUCCCUGGCCUCGCUCAGUGGGUUAAGGAUCUGGUGUUGCCACGGGCUGUGGUGUAGGUCGGAUCUCGUGUUGCUCUGGCUCUGGCGUAGGCUGGCAGCAACAGCUCUGAUUAGACCCCUAGCCUGGGAACCUCCAUAUGCCAUGGUGCAGCCCUAAAAAGACAAAAGACAAAAAACAAACAAACAAACAAACAAAAAAAACAAAACAAACCUGGUUGCCUAGAGCCAGUUCCUCUCCCAACCAAACUGUCUGUGGGCAGGGUCUCCCUUCUUGAUUUCCACGAGGCUGCACUGCCCUCUGUCGGUCACUUGGUUAUCAACGUGGGCCGCGCAGCACUCCCUCUGGAAAUCGCAGGAGCUCUCCCGAGCAGGGAGUUUUCUGCCAGCCAGGCUUGUUUCCACACAGUGACUCAUAAAAUGAGAUAAUGAGGGGCAAGAGCAAGUUAAAAUAUUUACUAUAAUUAACAUCGGGUGGAAAAACUUAUGUCUUAAAUCACUUGUGGAAAGACUGUGGCCUGGAGAGGGUUUUGCAGUGGGUAUAACCCCACCCCCCACCCCGGCGUUUCCUGUCGAUGAAGCAUACAGAAAAAAGUUUUUCUAAUUAUACAGGAAAUUUAUUUCUGAAGGUCACAUAAAUAUAAGAACCACAUGUUUAGGAAGUGACUAGGUGACUAAGAAUUUUCACACUCACUUACCAGCGUGAGUGUUCUCUUUUGUCCACUCCUUUCUUCCUCAGAUUUUAACGAGCUGUUUGCCAUGUCCUCCCUUCCCCUGCUUCGGGGAUCCAGAAAUGAAAGAGAGAAGGAUCCUGGUCUCAAGGACCUUGUUUGUAGGGAAGUUAAUACCUAGACUAAAAGGAGGCAAACAGGGAGAUGUGUCCAGAUGCUGUUGGUACCGCCCAGGGCUCCUGGGCCAGUCUGGCGGCUGCAGGUGUGGACCGCUAACAGGGUACUAGUGCCCCUUCUCCUGAGGCUUGCUGAGGGGUAGCGCUACCCCUGCUCCCCACUUCCCAUCUUGUGUCGCCUGUGGCCAGAGGGUGACUAAGGCAGGGGGGUCCCCCAGCCCAGCCCCCUGGCCUCUAUGGGGGGACAGUUCCUGUGGUGCAGUGUACACUCCAGAGCUCCCCGUGGGCUCAGGAGGAGGCUGAUCCUGCUGAAUUGACAUCUUUGCCUCUGCGGUUUCUCCCCAAGGCCCCCCCCUCCACAAGCUAUUUGCUCACGAAUCUCCACUGCAGGCUCUACUUCUAGACACAAACAUGUGCUAUCGAAGAGGCCGGGAAAGCUGAGCUCCAGUUUCAAGACCAGGGAAAAUGUGCCUUGAAGGUUAGUUUAGAUUUGAGCACAUUGGAGAGAUGCAUUCAUUCCCCACACACACUGACACGCAUUGAAAAGUGUCUUCUGUGAUCCGGGAUCUGUUCCAGGCCUCGGGGACACAGCAGUAAGUAGGACAGUCUUGUUGUCACAGGCACUUACAUUCUGGUGGGAAGAGGAGGAAGGAGGGAAACAAGGGAUGAUGAGAUAAGUUCUAUGGUAAAAACAAAACAUGGUAACUAGUUAAUGUUACCAGCCCUCUCUCCUACAAUUCUACAAACACUUAGCCAUGGGGACAGGAAAUUCAGUUCAGCUUCUUCCAAGCGUUCUGAUUCUUUACAUCCAGUGGUGCAGAUUUCAAUCAGUGUCAACUCCCACUGAGUUCCUGGUGAGGACGGUUAUUUUAAACCAGGGUGUUGACCCCAAACAUUUUCAAAAACACUUCCAAAGCCUGAAUUUGGGGUCUUGGAACAUUCUGUAGGCUUCCGACAUCUAAAGCAUUGAAGAGUCUCUUUCAGUCUAGAUUCAGAGUAGGGUCUCCCUAGAGGACCAGGAACGCUGUAAACGGGUAGCGGGCAGGUCCCUGCCAUCACCGGCAGUGAAGACUUGUGGCUGCCUGGUAGGUGAUUUUGGGGACAAGAAACAGUUGGCUUUUCUGGAGUUCAGGCUUGACUUGUCCUGCAUGGCUAUGCCUUCCAUUCUCCAGUGUCCCAGGACCACACUGUUCUAGAUCCAAUAUGCCUUCAAGCCAAGGCCUGUGGCCUUAGGAGCUGAUACCGCUUCUUUCUGGCCCAAGAGGUUUCCUAGGCAGAGACUGUUUUUGUUUUUGUUUUUUGCUUUUUUUGGUCUUUUUGCCUUUUUAGAGCCGCACUUGAGGCAUAUGGAGGUUCCCAGGCUAGGGGUCUAAUCGGAGCUGUAGCUGCCGGCCUACACCACAGCCACAGCAACGCGGGAUCCGAGCCGCAUCUGCAACCUACACCACAGCUCAGGGCAAUGCCGGAUCCUUCACCCACUGAGCGAGGCCACGGGUUGAACCCGCAACCUCAUAGUUCCUAGUCGGAUUCGUUAACCGCUGAGCCACAACGGAACCCUGGCAGAGACUGUUUUAUUCAUCUUCCUGUGCCCCAAGGGCACAAAGCAAAUCCUGUUGCAUAGUAGGCACUCCAUGUGUGACAUUUGUGAAAUAAGCGAAUCCCAGGUCCCUCUUUAAUCCCUAUGUGUCUGUCUUCCUCCCAUGGUCCCAAAUAGCCAGGCCAUCAUCCUCUCUCCAUUUGACAAGCCUCAUGGCCUUUCCAGCCACUGUGCCUUUGCUCAGUGCUCGCUCUCCUGCUCAGGGGCUGCCUGGGUAAUUGAAAGAAAUCCCUGGGCUUCCAGGAGAGCCAGGCCAGCUCUGGAACCCCAAAAGUGUGUGACUUAUGGCAGUCAGCUUCUAUAGGGAAAUCUCGCCUACGGUGGGUGGUCAGAUCCCGCCGGUACAUAGUAGGCACUCCACGUGUGUCAUUCUCCAGCUUUCCCGUCUUCCACCCAGUCUGCUUUUAAAAUAUCCUCUAGUUUCAUAACUAAAUAGCGUCCGUAAAGACUCCCAUGAUCCCUGUGACACAGACUGACCUUAGAACACGUCAUUUUUCUCUGGUUUGAGUGGGGUAGGAUCUUCCUGAUGCGGUGGUGAACAAUCCUAUGAAAUUUAACACUCCUUUUACGUAACACUUUGGGUUGACAUUAGGGCUUUUCUGAAUACCCUGAUCCUUCUCCUUCUGGGAAUGGUGUUGGAAGGCCAAGGUCCUCGAAGUCAGGCAGAGGCAUGUGACACGCACUGGCCAAUCAACUGUAGAAGUGAGCUGGGCCACUUGGCCACUGAAGCAUUAAGGAGCCAUGUAAGAGCCAUCACGUUCCUGUUCUUGCUGCUGGAGCAAAGAAUGGUGUGGCUAUGCAGUUUGCAUUGGAAAUAAACUUUGGCCUUUU
rnacentral:lncRNA from 1 species